rnacentral:rRNA from 1 species
AUGUCUGGCACUAAGGUGGAGUUGGUGUGUUGGAAUGUGAAGGGCCUUAAUAGCCCGGCAAAGAAAAAGGCUCUAAGGGAGUUUGUAGAUUCUGUCCAGGCCACUAUUAUUUGUAUCCAGGAGACCAAACUGGCGGUAGUGGACCGCUAUAUUAUCAUGCAAUGUUUAGGGCCGGCUUAUGAUGGUUUUGCUUAUCUCCCUGCUUGUGGAACACGUGGGGGGAUUUUGGUGGUAUGGAAAUAG